CGUCCCACAGCAUCCCACAGCGUCCCACAGCAUCCCACAGCGUCCCACAGCAUCCCACAGCGUCCCACAGCGUCCCACAGCAUCCCACAGCGUCCCACAGCAUCCCACAGCAGUGUCAGGUGACUUUCAGUGAAGGUUAUGACACAAUGACAGUGUGAUGAUAACAAAGAGAAGCAUGAGUCAUUAUCUCGUCAUUACUUGGACUUUAUUGUUGAUUUUAGCACUUCACACUAGCAUUAGCUGGUUUCCCUCCUUUGGAGUAAACUACCAAUCAGACAGCACAUCUGAGCUGCUGUCACACAGUCAGAUACAGGAAAGCAUGACAGCAACAACACGCUCAAAGCUGAACAUCAUUUGCAUGUUAAGAAUUUUACUGCAAGAAAGAAAUAGUGCAAAGCUGAACAUAGUGAGUUUGCUUUAUGUAUGAUAAAGUCCUGUUGACAAAUCCAGUGCAUGAAUGUGAAUGACCUGUGAAAUAAAGUGUGCGUGCCGUGUUCAGUCUGACGUGAAACAUCAGAAUCUCUGUCUUCAUUUUACUGAUUUCCUCUUUCAUUGCCAGCAUGUGUGCUCAGAGGCUUUCACAGUGCAUUAUAAGCACGUCGUGGCUUUGUGUCCCUCGCUCUGCAUCAUUAGAACAUUAACAGACCAACAAAUAUAAGUUUGUCAUACUUUAUCGAUGAAAUCUGGGAGAAUAUAAAUAACAUCUGUAGCAGAAGCAGUGUGUCACUCUUGGUCUUGCAAGACAAUUUUGCGUCCAGUUGUUAAUUCUUGAACAAUGUGCACCAAUCUCUUACAAAAGAUGUGGUUUGCUAUGGUUCUCUGACCCAACCUGGUUACUAAAGUACUGAAAACGAGGAGACAACAUUACAACAACGUGCCAAAUAAGCUAGGUCCAUCAUGUGAUCUGCCAAAGUUUAAGGCGUGGAUUUUGGUACGACUUCUAAAGGUCUGUGUUUCCGCAACCAAGACGUUGCUUCAGGCCGUCUACAUCCUGUGGUUCUGAACUUCGGAUGGACAAAUGGCAGCAGCCGUUUAUCAGAAGCACCCAGACUGCUCUUGGCGAUGGUCUGACUCAGUCCUCGGGCCACGACCUCCCCUGUAAGCGUUGUUUGGUGUUUCCACCUGCACGUGUCCUUUGCUUCCAGCAAAAUGAUUGUGACAGCGGGGCAUUCAGCAUCCAGCAGAUGUUAUAUCUGCAAUAUGCAGCCGCAGUUUUUCACAGUUACCUGCCUGCUAUACCCAAGAGACGUGAUGAUUUAUGGUGUCGGCCCUGUUAUCACAGAAUGGGCCACGUGACCAGUUAAAGUGGUGACAAACUGUUGGCUCUGUCGAAACGAAAAGUAGUUAUUGGGGCUAAAAAAGCAUUUACAGCCUAUUAACCCGAGAACGCUAUCGCUGGGUGAUUUACACCCGAGCAAAUACAUUUACAUGAUUUCUCUCUCCUGCAGCUGUUUGCGUGUCGAGGAGCCUGUGCCUUCACCAGGGAAGUCUCAAAUGUCCCAGGAAUGGGUGGACCAAAGACCAGCUUUCCAGAGUCAUUCUUUUGUUUUAGGAGGGUUUUUCUUUCAUUUUGUUAGACAUGGCACAGUUGAAAGUAAAAGAAGACCACUCUAAUUUGUCAUGUGUUGUCAUAUUUUGAUAUAUUUGAUUACUUUUUAUUGGUUAUAUUAUAUCGGGUAAAAAUCACCCGGCAUUAGCGAUUGUGUUACUAUUUAUAGCGAUAGUGUUCUAGGGUUAAACGUGCAAGAGAGCUGAUGCAGUCUCCAGCGAGUCCAUCAUCAGCUGGGCUGAUUCAUGACCAGAACGUCCCAAGUGUGAAGUCAGUGAAUCAGUGCUGGCCUGGUGCUGAACAACGUGAGGCUGAAGGGACUGUGGAGACAUCAGCACAUCACAUUUUACAUUGGUUUUAUUAUAAUGUGCUUCUAGUGAGGACAAAAGCACAGACACCAACCUCCUGAUCUGCGGAGCAGUGGUGGUAGAGGAACUUCGUCUCAGCGUCUUAGUAGAAGAAGGGGUGAGGUGGACUUUGGAGGGCUUCGGGGGAGGGAGGAUGGAGCGGUGUGAAGUCUUGGACAGGUUUAACCUGACACAGAAAACAAGAACACCUCAUAUUUGUGUGUGUGUGUGAUCCAAGAGCAAAUAAAACUUGAUCCUUCACAGAAACAAGCACAACGAACAACUUCUCCAAAAAUCCUUCUGAUUUCUACGCUCACUGCAGGAAUCAACAUCUGCACUCACACUCUGUACAAGAGACGAGAUACAAACACGCUUCGACGUGUGGGAGGUACCUGAUUUAACCUCCGUGGAAGCCCAGCUCUUGGUUGUGUCAGGUUAGCAGUUUGGUGAUGUUAGUUUACAGGAGAAGCCGGAGGCACGUCGUGAGUUUGGUUCGUGGUCGUCCUUUGGUUUCUUUUUGCCGCAGCUCUCAUAUCCCCGAUUUGUAACUAUUUACUUUUUAUAAGAUGUUUCUUGAACUAUGGCAGCUUCUUAUAUAUCUGCUAUAUUUGUGCCGUGGAUUCAGGGACCCAAACAAAAACUGUAGUGAGCAGAGGUAUUAUCUACUGAUUGUGUGUCUGGCUGCAGCCAAGGAUGGAGAGCAGAGGCAGCGGGCAGGCCAAUCGAAACGCAGCUCAGGCCGCGGCUGCAGCAAAAACUUGGGCGUAGGAGGAGCGAUUCUGGCAAAGCGUCAGGAGGGGAAGUGGUGCUCCACCAACACGGUGUACAGUAAAGAUGGAGGCCUGCUGGCUCCAGCUGAGGACACCGUCAGGCAGUAGAAGGAAUACUCUGACAACCUCCAGAACCUUAAUCUCACUCAUAACUAAAGUCGCCAAAAGACAACAACUUCUCCUGUUGCAUUUAGGUUUCAGUUUAACCGAAGAACAAAGAAGGACACAUGAGCUCGAGCAGGUUACACACAACAUUCACGCUGCACAGAUGAGAACACAGCAGGAUUUCAUGCAGUCCGGUCUGCCUGUUAGACAGCGUGCAAACAAAGCGUGCGUUCUUUGUAGCAUUCGACAACAGUCACUUACGUACUUUCUGACAUCCACAAAAACAUAUUGGUGUCUAUUAUCUCUCCUUGUUAAUAGAAACUUUGUUUCCAGCGUUUGAGCUAAUUCUCUACGUGUCUCUUGCACUGACCACAAUAACCAUCUAUCAUUAAUUACAUUACAGAUGUUGGUACCUUGAGCAGGAUGACGCUGAUCUCGGUGGGCGUUUUCCCUUCAGUGCUCUCAGUUUGUCUCCCUGUGUCAGACUGACUUCUUUGCAGUUAUUCUGCACAGACACAAUUAGCAGCAUGAAAACACAACAUUGUGAUCGGAACUCAGUAGCCUGUUUGAAUUCUGCAGUAACCAUUAAGAAAAGGUGCUAUGAAGUCACACCGCUGACCUCAUCCAAGCUAUAUGACUUGCAGAGCACGGUGUUGAUUGACAGGUCAUCCAUGCUGGAAAGCAGCGAGGACACUGCCUCCUGUUUGCCUCCCUGCACAGAGUCAGAGUGGUGCAGCUGCUGCUGCAGCUGCUGCAGCUGAUGCUGCUGCAGCUGCUGCUGCCGACUCAGUCUCUGUUGGACCAGCUUCUGUUUAGACCGAUGCACGUCACCCUGAACCCACAAACUGUGCUGCUUCCUGCACACAAACAUCAAACACACGCCACAAACUGACUGUGAUAUCACGUUUAGCAGGUACAACAUUCAACAUCCUGGUUUAGCGUGUAAGUAGACACACAAAGCUAGUAGCCAUUAGCAACAGAGCGCUACUGUGGCGUAAGGAGGAAGUGUGCGUCCAGAGCUGAGGAGAGAAACCAGCUGCACACUGUGACUGCAGUCUGCAGCAGUAUCACAGUUUCAGGCUUUUUUUAAAUUCGAUUCGAUUCAUCAUCCACCAGUUUCCCACUGCUGCAGUCACCACCAGCUGCACAUGGGCACCCUGGGGAAUGCCCCACCCUGACCUCCACCUUUUGCUUCUCUUCUAACAUUUCCAGCAUGCUCCAACCAUGACCUCAGCAUGGA
ensembl:lncRNA